UACGGGGGGGGCAAGCGUUGUUCGGAAUUACUGGGCGUAAAGGGCUCGUAGGUGGCCAACUAAGUCAUACGUGAAAUCCCUCGGCUUAACCGGGGAACUGCGUCUGAUACUGGAUGGCUUGAGAUUGGGAGAGGGAUGCGGAAUUCCAGGUGUAGCGGUGAGAUGCGUAGAUAUCAGGAGGGACACCGGUGGCGAAGGCGGGUCUCUGGGCCGAUACUGACGCUGAGGAGCGAAAGCGUGGGGAGCGAACAGG
rnacentral:rRNA from 1 species